rnacentral:rRNA from 1 species
AAGUCGAGCGAUGAAAUUUCGACAGAUCCCUUCGGGGUGAAGAUGAAAUGGAUUAGCGGCGGACGGGUGAGUAACACGUGAGUAACCUGCCUUAGACAUUGGGAUAGCCUCGGGAAACCGGGAUUAAUACCAAAUGAAAUCACAUAUGCACAUGCAUAAAUGAUCAAAGCUCCGGCGGUCUAAGAUGGACUCGCGUCCCAUUAGCUAGUUGGUGAGGUAACGGCCCACCAAGGCGACGAUGGGUAGCCGGCCUGAGAGGGUGAACGGCCACAUUGGAACUGAGAAACGGUCCAAACUCCUACGGGAGGCAGCAGUGGGGAAUAUUGCACAAUGGAGGGAACUCUGAUGCAGCGACGCCGCGUGAACGAAGAAGGCUUUCGAGUCGUAAAGUUCUUUUAUAUGGGAAGAUAAUGACGGUACCAUAAGAAAAAGCCCCGGCUAACUACGUGCCAGCAGCCGCGGUAAUACGUAGGGGGCUAGCGUUGUCCGGAAUCACUGGGCGUAAAGGGUUCGCAGGCGGAAAUGCAAGUCAGGUGUAAAAGGCAGUAGCUUAACUACUGUAAGCAUUUGAAACUGCAUAUCUUGAGAAGAGUAGAGGUAAGUGGAAUUUUUAGUGUAGCGGUGAAAUGCGUAGAUAUUAAAAAGAAUACCGGUGGCGAAGGCGACUUACUGGGCUCAUUCUGACGCUGAGGAACGA